GGGGAAUCUUGCACAAUGGGGGAAACCCUGAUGCAGCGACGCCGCGUGAACGAUGAAGCCCUUCGGGGUGUAAAGUUCUUUCGACAGGAACGAUAAUGACGGUACCUGGAGAAGAAGCUGCGGCUAACUACGUGCCAGCAGCCGCGGUAAUACGUAGGCAGCGAGCGUUGUUCGGAGUUACUGGGCGUAAAGCGUGCGUAGGCGGCGAGCCAAGUUUGGUGUGAAAUCUCCCGGCUUAACCGGGAGGGUGCGCCGAAAAAUGGUUGGCUGGAGUAUGGGAGAGGAAAGCGGAAUUCCUGGUGUAGCGGUGAAAUGCGUAGAUAUCAGGAGGAACACCUGCGGUGUAGACAGCUUUCUGGACCAAAACUGACGCUGAGGCACGAAAGCGUGGGUAGCAAACA
rnacentral:rRNA from 1 species